AGAAAAAUUAAAAACCCUCCAUCAACCUAAACCCUCAUCCGCGAAAAAACCUCCAUCAGUGAAAACCUCCGCCCACGAAAUACUCCAGAAAUUGAAACCCAACCUCCAUCAACAAAUUGACGACGAUAUUGCUACAAAAGCUUCAGACACAAUCGGCACCGCACGAAGCCGUCGGUGAACCAUUCCAAAACCGUCUUCGGCUCAAGCAUGUCAGAACCUAAUGGAUGAGACAGACAAGGAAUUUAAAAAGAUGUCUGAGAGGGUAGUGGAGCUUCAGAUGAUGAAUCUGUUGGAUUUGGAAGCUAGGCCUCCGUAGGUCAGUCACUCAGUCAGUAAAUCAGGGAGUAAGAGGAAGCUGAAAGAGGAUUCAGCAGAAAAAUAAAUAUAAAUCUUCUGCGGUAUGUGCUCCUGCUACUGAAUUUUGCUGCUGAGAUUCAGUGUUUGAAUCAAUUUUCUGGAUAUAACCCUUCUUUAUAAUACAGUAAUAAGGGAGAAGAAGAAGAACAAAAGGGGUGGGGCCCAUAAUUAAUGAAGUUACCUGCUUCAAGGGGUUAUAAUUUACUAUUGUGGUUUAAUUUAAGGAAGUAUUUAUUCGUUUUCUAAAUUGUUUAGUCUUAAAACAUUUUUCAGCCUAGUAUUUUAAGUAGUACUACCAUUAAUUCUUGAAAGCCUAUUAGCUCAAAUGGUAGAGCAAUGUGCCACUGGGCCACGUACAUAUAUGUAGGUUCGAGUCCUAUAUAGGCUGCAAUUAUAUAUGUAUAUAUAUAAUAUAUAUUAUAUA